UUCGCUUCUCGGCCUUUUGGCCAAGAUCAAAGUGUAGUAUCUGUUCUUAUCAGCUCCAUAGGGGCCCCAGAAGAAAAUAAGGACAGCAAUGGACUCAUAAAAGGAAUUAAUUUUAAUCAUUUUUGAACAAACACUAAGAUGUAACUUGAAUUCAAAAUCUGUACAUCACAUUUGCGCAGACACAAAAAUAUUUCUUUUUUUCUAUGAAAACAACCC
rnacentral:snRNA from 1 species